rnacentral:rRNA from 1 species
ACUACGGGUGGCAGCAGUGAGGAAUAUUGGUCAAUGGGCGGGAGCCUGAACCAGCCAAGUCGCGUGAGGGAAGAAGGUACUGAGUAUUGUAGACCUCUUUUGCCAGGGGACAAAGGCGGCGACGGGUGGCCGUAAGAGGGUACCUGGAGAAAAAGCAUCGGCUAACUCCGUGCCAGCAGCCGCGGUAAUACGGAGGAUGCGAGCGUUAUCCGGAUUUAUUGGGGUUAAAGGGUGCGCAGGCGGUGUGUCAAGUCAGCGGUAAAAGGGCGGGGCUCAACCCCGCCGGGCCGUUGAAACUGGCGGGCUCGAGUUCGGCAGAAGUAUGCGGAAUUCGUGGUGUAGCGGUGAAAUGCAUAGAUAUCACGAAGAACCCCGAUUGCGAAGGCAGCAUACCGGCUCCACACUGACGCUGAGGCACGAAAGCGUGGGUAUCGAACAGGAUUAGAUACCCCUGUAGUC